UACAAGUUUCCAGCCUAGGGUUCAGCCAGCC
rnacentral:piRNA from 1 species